GGGGGUGUAGCUCAGUGGUAGAGUGCUUGUCUAGCAUGCAGAAGGCCCUGGGUUCAUUCCCAGCUCCCCCU
rnacentral:tRNA from 1 species